GGUUAGAGUAGAAGCGAUGUUAGUAACGCAACAAACUAUUUUUGUCAAUUUUAAUGGGGGUUUUGGUGAUUGUUUUCUUGUUUUUUUUUUUUUAUGACAAACUCCAAAUGUGUACCAAUGGGGGGAGGGGAGGGAACCACUUUCCUAAAUGUCAUCACUUCUUCCUCAGAAACUUUCCUACCUGUAGGCUGCCUCUGUCUACUCCUAGUUUCUACGUGACAGAGGGUGCCAACCAACCUGGCAACCUGGUAUUUGUUACUAAAACGGCAUGUGUUUUUAGGUUUCAUUUCUAUUGUACCUAAACCAGUCUAAAUUAAAACUCAGUAGACCAGCAGGAGUUUGAUUCUGUUUCUGAAAGGUGAGUUAUGUAUUGCUGUCAUUGGGCCUAUUUAAAAACAAGUUUUCUUGCUUUCUUAGUGGUAGUCAUGAAUUGCAGGGUAUUUUUGAAGUCUAUCACCUGAAGCCAAGAAUAGUGGCUAGGUUAAUGCUAUGAUGAAAGAAAAGAAAUUUAGCCUUGGGUAUUUAUUUAUUUUUUUUUGUUAUUUAGAAAUGCAGUCUUGUUUACCACUGUUUCUUCUCCACAGCCUUCGUAUGUUGGCUCAGCUCUCUUGUGUUAGCAACUUAUGAAAAGACUGUGAAAGCAAACGUAAUUUAUCUGUUUUUUUUUAAGGGAACUCGAACCAGAAUUUAAAAUUAUGAAUUGAUUUGUACAAAUAAAAAAGCAGGCCAUCGGAAACUCUUUUGUCAGAUAGUGUCCAGGAAAACAAAUCUCAGUACAUGAAGGCUCCAUGUUCUUUUUGCCUGGGGCAAAAUGAUGUAUCUUCUGUAUUUAGCUUUUAAGACUAGUGAAACAAAUGGCAUUAUUUAUUAAAAUUCUACUCAGAAUAACAGGA
rnacentral:lncRNA from 1 species